ACGAACGCUGGCGGCGUGCCUAAUACAUGCAAGUCGAGCGGACUUUGGAUGGAAGCUUGCUUCUAUCUUUAGUCAGCGGCGGACGGGUGAGUAACACGUAGGUAACCUGCCCCUUUGAACGGGAUAACAUCCGGAAACGGAUGCUAAGACCGAAUACACAAGCGAGUCGCAUGGCAAGCUUGGGAAACGCGGAGCAAUCUGCGGCAUAGGGAUGGGCCUGCGGCGCAUUAGCUAGUUGGUGGGGUAACGGCUCACCAAGGCGACGAUGCGUAGCCGACCUGAGAGGGUGAACGGCCACACUGGGACUGAGACACGGCCCAGACUCCUACGGGAGGCAGCAGUAGGGAAUCUUCCACAAUGGGCGAAAGCCUGAUGGAGCAACGCCGCGUGAGUGAGGAAGGCUUUCGGGUCGUAAAGCUCUGUUGCCAGGGAAGAAUAAGGGUGAGGGUCACUACUCACCUGAUGACGGUACCUGAGAAGAAAGCCCCGGCUAACUACGUGCCAGCAGCCGCGGUAAUACGUAGGGGGCAAGCGUUGUCCGGAUUUAUUGGGCGUAAAGCGCGCGCAGGCGGUUCUUUAAGUCUGGUGUCUAAGUGCGGGGCUCAACCCCGUGACGCACUGGAAACUGGGGGACUUGAGUGCAGAAGAGGAGAGCGGAAUUCCACGUGUAGCGGUGAAAUGCGUAGAGAUGUGGAGGAACACCAGUGGCGAAGGCGGCUCUCUGGUCUGUAACUGACGCUGAGGCGCGAAAGCGUGGGGAGCAAACAGGAUUAGAUACCCUGGUAGUCCACGCCGUAAACGAUGAGUGCUAGGUGUUGGGGGUAUCAUGCCCUCGGUGCCGAAGUUAACACAUUAAGCACUCCGCCUGGGGAGUACGGUCGUAAGACUAAAACCCAAAGGAAUUGACGGGGACCCGCACAAGCAGUGGAGUAUGUGGUUUAAUUCGAAGCAACACGAAGAACCUUACCAGGUCUUGACAUCCCUUUGAAUACGUUAGAGAUAGCGUAGGCCUUCGGGACAGAGGAGACAGGUGGUGCAUGGUUGUCGUCAGCUCGUGUCGUGAGAUGUUGGGUUAAGUCCCGCAACGAGCGCAACCCUUAAGCUUAGUUGCCAGCACGCAGUGGUGGGCACUCUAGGCUGACUGCCGGUGACAAACCGGAGGAAGGCGGGGAUGACGUCAAAUCAUCAUGCCCCUUAUGACCUGGGCUACACACGUACUACAAUGGCCGGUACAACGGGCAGCGAAACCGCGAGGUGGAGCCAAUCCCAACAAAGCCGGUCUCAGUUCGGAUUGCAGGCUGCAACUCGCCUGCAUGAAGUCGGAAUUGCUAGUAAUCGCGGAUCAGCAUGCCGCGGUGAAUACGUUCCCGGGUCUUGUACACACCGCCCGUCACACCACGAGAGUUUACAACACCCGAAGUCGGUGGGGUAACCCGUAAGGGAGCCAGCCGCCGAAGGUGGGGUAGAUGAUUGGGGUG
rnacentral:rRNA from 1 species